UACGAAGGGGGCUAGCGUUGCUCGGAAUCACUGGGCGUAAAGCGCACGUAGGCGGACUCUUAAGUCGGUGGUGAAAUCCUGGAGCUCAACUCCAGAACUGCCUUCGAUACUGGGAGUCUCGAGUUCGGGAGAGGUGAGUGGAACUGCGAGUGUAGAGGUGAAAUUCGUAGAUAUUCGCAAGAACACCAGUGGCGAAGGCGGCUCACUGGUCCGGUACUGACGCUGAGGUGCGAAAGCGUGGGGAGCAAACAGG
rnacentral:rRNA from 1 species